rnacentral:misc_RNA from 1 species
UCCGGUUUGUCACCGGCAGUCACCUUAGAGUCCCCACCAUCACGUGCUGGCAACAUAGAACGAGGGUUGCGCUCGUUGCGGGACUUAACCCAACAUCUCACGACACGAGCUGACGACAACCAUGCACCACCUGUGAACCAGCCCCAAAGGGGAAACCACAUCUCUGCAGCGGUCCGGUCCAUGUCAAGCCUUGGUAAGGUUCUUCGCGUUGCAUCGAAUUAAUCCGCAUGCUCCGCCGCUUGUGCGGGCCUCCGUCAAUUCCUUUGAGUUUUAGCCUUGCGGCCGUACUCCCCAGGCGGGGCACUUAAUGCGUUAGCUACGGCACGGAACCCGUCGAUAGGGUCCCACACCUAGUGCCCAACGUUUACGGCGUGGACUAC